UUUUAUGGAGAGUUUGAUCCUGGCUCAGGAUGAACGCUGGCGGCGUGCCUAAUACAUGCAAGUCGAGCGAACGGACGAGAAGCUUGCUUCUCUGAUGUUAGCGGCGGACGGGUGAGUAACACGUGGAUAACCUACCUAUAAGACUGGGAUAACUUCGGGAAACCGGAGCUAAUACCGGAUAAUAUUUUGAACCGCAUGGUUCAAAAGUGAAAGACGGUCUUGCUGUCACUUAUAGAUGGAUCCGCGCUGCAUUAGCUAGUUGGUAAGGUAACGGCUUACCAAGGCAACGAUGCAUAGCCGACCUGAGAGGGUGAUCGGCCACACUGGAACUGAGACACGGUCCAGACUCCUACGGGAGGCAGCAGUAGGGAAUCUUCCGCAAUGGGCGAAAGCCUGACGGAGCAACGCCGCGUGAGUGAUGAAGGUCUUCGGAUCGUAAAACUCUGUUAUUAGGGAAGAACAUAUGUGUAAGUAACUGUGCACAUCUUGACGGUACCUAAUCAGAAAGCCACGGCUAACUACGUGCCAGCAGCCGCGGUAAUACGUAGGUGGCAAGCGUUAUCCGGAAUUAUUGGGCGUAAAGCGCGCGUAGGCGGUUUUUUAAGUCUGAUGUGAAAGCCCACGGCUCAACCGUGGAGGGUCAUUGGAAACUGGAAAACUUGAGUGCAGAAGAGGAAAGUGGAAUUCCAUGUGUAGCGGUGAAAUGCGCAGAGAUAUGGAGGAACACCAGUGGCGAAGGCGACUUUCUGGUCUGUAACUGACGCUGAUGUGCGAAAGCGUGGGGAUCAAACAGGAUUAGAUACCCUGGUAGUCCACGCCGUAAACGAUGAGUGCUAAGUGUUAGGGGGUUUCCGCCCCUUAGUGCUGCAGCUAACGCAUUAAGCACUCCGCCUGGGGAGUACGACCGCAAGGUUGAAACUCAAAGGAAUUGACGGGGACCCGCACAAGCGGUGGAGCAUGUGGUUUAAUUCGAAGCAACGCGAAGAACCUUACCAAAUCUUGACAUCCUUUGACAACUCUAGAGAUAGAGCCUUCCCCUUCGGGGGACAAAGUGACAGGUGGUGCAUGGUUGUCGUCAGCUCGUGUCGUGAGAUGUUGGGUUAAGUCCCGCAACGAGCGCAACCCUUAAGCUUAGUUGCCAUCAUUAAGUUGGGCACUCUAAGUUGACUGCCGGUGACAAACCGGAGGAAGGUGGGGA
rnacentral:rRNA from 1 species